rnacentral:lncRNA from 1 species
UUUGCACAUGAUAAUUUCUUCUUUCAUAAAUAGCAGCAAAUAUGCUUCUCUCCCCUCUGUCUCUCCCUCUCUCUCAGGAUAUCAGGCAGAUAAGAGUUAUCAGUAAAGGUCAUCCUCAAUUUCUGUACAGAAAUGAUCUGUCUCCGGUCAUGACGGUUAAUGCUGCUAAAAAAUCUCAUCACUGCUUUUGAUCACUGUAUUGUCUUCCCUGUAUUAUCAGAAUUUUGUGAAGGGAUCAGUUCUCUAGAAGUAGACAGACAAAAGAAGAAAAAAAGCAAAAGCAAGAAGAACCCACCCAUUGAUACACAUCGUCAGACAAAUGAGAUGUGCAACAGAAAAACAAGAUGCAGGGUAAAACUUGCAUCCAUGCCUUUCCAUUUUUCCUUCAUCCAAGCUACUUAACUUCUCUCCUCAGUCAAAAGAGUUUUUAAGAAAAGGAAAACAACAAAGUAGCCACAAAAACAUCUGCCUUUAUUAAUGGACCAAGGAUCUUAUAAACUUAUGAAACAGAAUUUAGUUGUCAAUUUCAAGAAAAUAAUUCAGAUAAAUUAAUAAACUGUCUGAAAUUUCAAACA